UACGAAGGGGGCUAGCGUUGCUCGGAAUCACUGGGCGUAAAGGGCGCGUAGGCGACCAUUCAAGUCGGAGGUGAAAGCCCAGGGCUCAACCCUGGAAUUGCCUUCGAUACUGUUUGGCUAGAGACCGGAAGAGGUAAGUGGAACUGCGAGUGUAGAGGUGAAAUUCGUAGAUAUUCGCAAGAACACCAGUGGCGAAGGCGGCUUACUGGUCCGGUUCUGACGCUGAGGCGCGAAAGCGUGGGGAGCAAACAGG
rnacentral:rRNA from 1 species